ACGAACGCUGGCGGCGUGCUUCACACAUGCCAGUCGAACGGAAAGGCCUUUUCGGAGGUACUCGAGUGGCGAACGGGUGAGUAACACGUGGGUGAUCUGCCCUGCACUCUGGGAUAAGCCUGGGAAACUGGGUCUAAUACCGGAUAGGACCGCACUUUAGUGUGUGUGGUGGAAAGUUUUUUCGGUGUAGGAUGAGCCCGCGGCCUAUCAGCUUGUUGGUGGGGUAAUGGCCUACCAAGGCGGCGACGGGUAGCCGGACUGAGAGGUUGGUCGGCCACAUUGGGACUGAGAUACGGCCCAGACUCCUACGGGAGGCAGCAGUGGGGAAUAUUGCACAAUGGGCGCAAGCCUGAUGCAGCGACGCCGCGUGGGGGAUGACGGCCUUCGGGUUGUAAACUCCUUUCGCCAGGGACGAAGCGUUUUGUGACGGUACCUGGAGAAGAAGCACCGGCUAACUACGUG
rnacentral:rRNA from 1 species